rnacentral:rRNA from 1 species
GACGAACGCUGGCGGCGUGCUUAACACAUGCAAGUCGAACGGAAAGGCCCUGCUUUUGUGGGGUGCUCGAGUGGCGAACGGGUGAGUAACACGUGAGUAACCUGCCCUUGACUUUGGGAUAACUUCAGGAAACUGGGGCUAAUACCAGAUAGGAGCUCCUGCUGCAUGGUGGGGGUUGGAAAGUUUCGGCGGUUGGGGAUGGACUCGCGGCUUAUCAGCUUGUUGGUGGGGGAGUGGCUUACCAAGGCUUUGACGGGUAGCCGGCCUGAGAGGGUGACCGGCCACAUUGGGCCUGAGGUACGGCCCAGACUCCUACGGGAGGCAGCAGGGGGGAAUAUUGCACAAUGGGCGGAAGCCUGAUGAAGCAACGCCGCGUGCGGGAUGACGGCCUGCGGGUUGUAAACCGCUUUCGCCUGUGACGAAGCGUGAGUGACGGUAAUGGGUAAAGAAGCACCGGCUAACUACGUG